AAACAUCAAAAAAAAAUUGUUAAUUCAGUGACGCAACAAACGUUAAGUAAACUGAAGGAGGGAAUAUUGUCUUUAAAAGUCUGAUAUAAAUUUGUACGUGAUAAUAUUGGAUAAGACAAACUUCUACAAAAUAAACAAUGAUGGUAGGUUUUCGAUUCUGGUGUGUAGGAAUUGUACUGCUGAUCAUGAACGUAUCUGCCAUACCAGUAUAUGAUUUUCGAAGACCGAGUUAUUAUGAUACUUCUGAGAAAUUCCUUCCGCAAAAAAGACCAUAUAGUACAUUCUUCCGGAUCGGUAAAUCUCAAGCGAAGCAUUCGCCGAGUAUGGACGAUGUUUUUAUCAAUAAAAUGGGGGAUGUAUUGCAUAGACAAGAUUAUAUUCCCGAUUUAAUUGACGAGGAACAAAAGGUCGGUUUUAAUGCGGACAGAUUUAUUACUGGUGGUAUGGAGGAAUCUCUCUUGGACAACAAUUCUGAUGAGCUGUCCAGUCCAUCCAAAAGAGGGAUGUUUCGAUUCGGAAAAAUGCCUUAUUUCAUGAGAAAUGGACGAACCUUUUUACAGACUUAUUACGACAAACCAGAUUCAGUUUCUACAAAAUCUCAAUUCUGGAGAAUUGGUUAAAAGUUGUUUUAAUGGUUCUAACAUGCAAAUUAUAUUUAAAAGUAAGCGUUCAUAGCACAUCAGUAAAACUUUUCACAUAUUCGUAUGGAAUAAAUUUUGUCUGACUUUA